AGUGAACGCUGGCGGUAGGCCUAACACAUGCAAGUCGAACGGCAGCACAGAGGAGCUUGCUCCUUGGGUGGCGAGUGGCGGACGGGUGAGGAAUACAUCGGAAUCUACUCUGUCGUGGGGGAUAACGUAGGGAAACUUACGCUAAUACCGCAUACGACCUACGGGUGAAAGCAGGGGACCUUCGGGCCUUGCGCGAUUGAAUGAGCCGAUGUCGGAUUAGCUAGUUGGCGGGGUAAAGGCCCACCAAGGCGACGAUCCGUAGCUGGUCUGAGAGGAUGAUCAGCCACACUGGAACUGAGGCACGGUCCAGACUCCUACGGGAGGCAGCAGUGGGGAAUAUUGGACAAUGGGCGCAAGCCUGAUCCAGCCAUACCGCGUGGGUGAAGAAGGCCUUCGGGUUGUAAAGCCCUUUUGUUGGGAAAGAAAUCCAGCUGGCUAAUACCCGGUUGGGAUGACGGUACCCAAAGAAUAAGCACUGGCUAACUUCGUGCCAGCCGCCGCUGUAA
rnacentral:rRNA from 1 species